GGCUUAACACAUGCAAGUCGAGGGGAAACGGCAUUAUGUGCUUGCACAUUUUGGACGUCGACCGGCGCACGGGUGAGUAUCGCGUAUCCAACCUUCCCUCCACUCGGGGAUACCCCGUUGAAAGACGGCCUAAUACCCGAUGUUGUCCACAUAUGGCAUCUGACGUGGACCAAAGAUUCAUCGGUGGAGGAUGGGGAUGCGUCUGAUUAGCUUGUUGGUGCGGGUAACGGCCCACCAAGGCGACGAUCAGUAGGGGUUCUGAGGGGAAGGUCCCCCACAUUGGAACUGAGACACGGUCCAAACUCCUACGGGAGGCAGCAGUGAGGAAUAUUGGUCAAUGGACGUAAGUCUGAACCAGCCAAGUAGCGUGCAGGAUUGACGGCCCUAUGGGUUGUAAACUGCUUUUGUUGGGGAGUAAAGUGAGGCACGUGUGCCUUUUUGCAUUUACCCUUCGAAUAAGGACCGGCUAAUUCCGUGCCAGCAGCCGCGGUAAUACGGAAGGUCCAGGCGUUAUCCGGAUUUAUUGGGUUUAAAGGGAGUGUAGGCGGUCUGUUAAGCGUGUUGUGAAAUUUAGGUGCUCAACAUCUACCUUGCAGCGCGAACUGGCGGACUUGAGUGCACGCAACGUAUGCGGAAUUCAUGGUGUAGCGGUGAAAUGCUUAGAUAUCAUGACGAACUCCGAUUGCGAAGGCAGCGUACGGGAGUG
rnacentral:rRNA from 1 species